UCUUUUACUGCUCUUAUAUAUACUUUUAUAGCUUAUAUUUGCAAUUUUCAAAAAAUAGGAAAAGUUCAUACAUUUUGAGUUGUCAUUUUAGCAGCUUACUGGGUAUUCACAAUAAGUAGGGAAUAUGAUGAAAGGAAUUGAGACUGAAGGUGAACCAUAAAUGUUACACUGAUAGCUAAACUUGGCUUUCAUGCCCUUAGAUGAUAUAUUUGCAUUGUCAAAACAUAAGCAAUUACAGGAUUUCAUGGAAUUCUAAUUUUUAAAGAUGAUUUGCUGGGUCUUUCCUUAAUAAAGUAGUACUAUAAAGAUUGAUUUGUUGGACUCCAUGUAUCUUAUUUGUUAGGUCUUUCCUUAAUAAACUAGUACUAUAAAGAUUGAUUUGUUGGACUCUGUGUCUCUGAAUAGCAUAUCACUGAGAAUUAUGAUGUAGCACUAUUAUGGCAAUUUCAUUAAUACCUUCAACACCUACUUACCAGUUACUUAAAAGCUGAAAUUGCUCAGUUCAACACUCAGCAGUUGCACACAUGCUUAAAUGAACUCUUUUUUCUUGAGUUUCAAAUCAUGAUCAAUGAGACUUUCUUGUCCAAAGUGCAAUUUACAUGAUUUUGGCACAUAAAAUGUGCUUGGCUGCAUCAGUUUGCAGAGCUUCCGGACCUUCCUUAUUGCAGCAUCGAGCAUUCAAGGGACAACCGAGGCAGGCAUGGCAUACAAAGCCAUAUGUGAGGAGGUAGAAAGUGCAGAUGAAGCAGCAGCAAGACAGAAAUGAUAAAAAAGCAUUGGCAACAUUUUCAAACUGAGAAACCCAAACUCCUUUCAAUUAUUCUCCAUAGUUUCCUUCACUUAUGAAGGGUCUUCAAUUAGUUUUGGCUAGUAGCAGUUGUACCCUUCCUAUCCAUAGUAUUCCAUUACCAUUAAGAGUCAAAUCUUUAGGUGGAAUUUAUAACUGCAUACACUAAAAAAGGGGAAAGCCAAUUAAUUCACUUGCC
rnacentral:lncRNA from 1 species